rnacentral:rRNA from 1 species
UACGGGGGAGGCAAGCGUUGUUCGGAUUUACUGGGCGGUAAAGGGCGCGUAGGCGGCCAGCGCAAGCUCAGUUGUGAAAUCAUCCCGGGGCUUAACUCCGGUGAAACCGGAUCAACUGAUACUGCGCGGGCUAGAGUGCAGAAGGGGGCAACUGGGAAUUCUACGGGUGUAGCGGUGAAAAUGCGUAGAUAUCGUGGGAGAACACCCGGUGGCGAAGGCGGGCUUCUGGCUAAUGACUGACGCUGAGGUGCGGAAAGCUAGGGGAGCGAACGGG